rnacentral:rRNA from 1 species
GACGACGUGGCGAACGUUAUUCGGAAUCACUGGGCUUAAAGGCGCGUGUAGGCGGGUCGGCGCGUCGGACGCUGAAAUCCCCCGGCUCAACCGGGGAAGGGCGCCGAUACGGACCGGCCUGGAGGGACGUAGGGGGGGCUGGAACUUCCGGUGGAGCGGUGAAAUGCGUUGAGAUCGGAAGGAACGCCCGUGGCGAAGCGAGCCCCUGGACGUCUACUGACGCUGAGACGACGAAAGCCAGGGGAGCGAACGGG